rnacentral:lncRNA from 1 species
GAUUUCUCAGAAGGGACAAAUUGGGAUAACAUUGAACACUGCAUGGGUAAUUCCACUUUCCCAGUCAAAGGCAGAUAUUGAUGCAGCAUCUAGGUCCCUUGCUUUCCAAUAUGGCUGGGAACUUCUCCAUCUUAUUCUUUUUGUUUUUUGGCUUCACAUUAAUUGCUGUGGUUAUGGUUUAUAUAGACUUAAGACCUGGUUUCGAAUAGCUUAUUUGAGUUUAUCUUCUAACAUAAGCGCUUAUACUUUGACUAUACUUUGACUAUACUUAUGAAAAAAAAUUAUAACUUACCUAUAAGUUUGUGUCAAGCUUAUUUUUAUAAGGAGAUCAUAUUAUCAUAUAAAUAAGGGCUUAUACUUACAUAUAAGCUAUUUUGACUUUAUUUCACUAAGUUUCUCAAAUUAGCUUUGAAUAAACUUUUGUGCAACAAGCACUUAUUGCCACGAGUACUUAAAUAAGCUGUUUAUCCAAAAUCACCCCAUGUUAUUUUUCUGAUAGACCUAACCCAAUUUAUUUCUUGACUUGCCAGGUUUAUGGAGCCACUAAAAUCUGGAUCAUACCCUAUUGAAAUGGUCAAUAAUGUUGGCAGAAGAUUGCCAACAUUUUCAAGGGAACAAUCCUUGAUGGUUAAAGGGUCCUUUGAUUUCAUAGGAGUUAACUAUUACUCUGC